GAACGUCGUGAGACAGUUCGGUCCCUAUCUACCGUGGGCGCUGGAAAUUUGAGAGGAUCUGCUCCUAGUACGAGAGGACCAGAGUGGACGAACCUCUGGUGUACCGGUUGUGACGCCAGUCGCAUCGCCGGGUAGCUAUGUUCGGAAGGGAUAACCGCUGAAAGCAUCUAAGCGGGAAGCCUACCUCAAGAUAAGAUUUCCCUAGGACUUUAUGUCCUCUAAAGAGCCGUUCGAGACUAGGACGUUGAUAGGUUGGAUGUGGAAGCAUAGUGAUAUGUGAAGCUGACCAAUACUAAUUGCUCGUGAGGCUUGACUAUACAACACCCAAGCAGUUG
rnacentral:rRNA from 2 species